UACAGAGGGCGCAAGCGUUGUUCGGAAUUACUGGGCGUAAAGCGCGCGCAGGCGGAACGUGCAAGUCCGAAGUGAAAUCUCGCCGCUCAACGGCGAGGCUGCUUUGGAGACUGUCGAUCUAGGGACCGGUAGAGGCUGGUAGAAUUGCAGGUGUAGCGGUGGAAUGCGUAGAGAUCUGCAAGAAUACCCGUGGCGAAGGCGGCCAGCUGGGCCGGGUCCGACGCUGAGGCGCGAAAGCGUGGGGAGCAAACAGG
rnacentral:rRNA from 1 species